rnacentral:lncRNA from 7 species
AGUUGCUCUGUAAAAGUGGUAGCUCUGGGUUUUCAUUGUGACUUUUAGUCUGCAUUACAAGAAAUUCAAGAAAAGUGAGGAUUAAAUUGGUUGCCAGAAGCUCUCUUAUUAUAAUGUUGCUUUUCCUGUAGGUCUUCCUGUUGUGUCUAAGAGCUCUUUAGCUAUAUAUAUGUGUAAUAGGAAUUAAAUAUCAAAGGCUAUUCUGCAGCAUUGAGGCUCUUGGCUGCAAAGCUGCCCACUUUGUUGAACGUUUUUGCCUUCAAAAUGUGAUGUGGAGAGCGCCUCUUGGGAGUGGCCCAUAGCCUAUGUAAAUACUUGGUCCUUCCCAGGGAGUUGGCUAAGAGAAUGCUGGAUAAACUGGGCCAGAACAUGAGAUACCCUCUGCUUGGCACAUUUCUAAUUCAUGGGGAUCGAGGACAAAGGAUGUGCUGGGGUGGAUUUUUCAGCGAUUGCGUGGCCCCAAUAUUUGCAACUGGAAGUCUAAUUACUAGAGGAGGAAGGAGGAGCUGCUGGCUGGCGAUUUCAGAAGCAGCUUGUGAACUCUAUUUGCCUCGUUUUUUUCUGAUCCCAGUUGUGGGAGUAUCACUGACCCAAUGACAGCACUCGCAAGGGAAUUUCCACAUCCUGAUUCUACGUGCCUCUCUCUACACAACCUAUAAUUGCAUCCUGGGUUGAUCCCACCUCUCUACAUUAACAGUCAACAAAUACGAUCUCUUACAGUUUACAGAGACAAAAGAACACACACACAUCUUUAGACAGUGUUUGGGUUAUCUAUGGGAUGAAUCAUCUGCUGAAGAGCCCACUGUUAAUUCUGGAGGCUUGAUUCUUGAACCCAUAAGUGAGAUACAUCUGGUAAGAGCCACAGGUGAGAUCAGAUAGCUCCAGGCCCUCAGUGCUCCUUCCUGAGCCCCCGAGCAUGAAAAACAGUGAGUGCAAAUUAGUUUGGAAUCCAUGUGAAAACAUAAUGCAAAAUGCAAUGCAAAAACGAUGUGCAGGGAAACAGUUUGACAUAUGCCUGUUGUUUUCGGGAAAUUAGUGCAGCAUGACUUUGGGAGUCGAGCACAUAGUUUGAAUGUUGGGCCUUCUAAUUGAUCCCAGUCCUGACAAAAACAAGUCUUGAUGUUUCAUACUAUGUGAUCCUGGCACAGCAGGAGCAAUUAGAGGGGAUUGAGUGGUGUGAUCAUGAGAGGAAAUCAAAGUUAAAAUGUUGCCUUCUCAAAAUUAUGCUGCCCUACACAUGUGGUCUGUUCUUUCUUAUGCCAUGAAUACAGGGAAUAUUUAAUGAACUGGAUCUUAAGUGAAUAUAAUGUGUUUCCCACUGCAACUAUGUGGUCUCUGUUAAAUGCAACACUGUAUUUUUGAUGGGCAGGCAAAUUGGUUUCAUUUUUUGUUGUUUUGUUUUGUUUUGUUUUGUUUUGCUGACAUUAGCCAGGAGCUUACAUUUUCAAUUUCCCACAGCAAAUUGUGCUUGUCCAGUUUUGAAGAGUACAGAAGAAAGGUAUAUAAAUGUUUGUGCCAAGGGUGGCAAUGUAGAAGAUGGAGUUCAAUAGUGCAGUUUCUGUUGGUUUUAAUCUAGAUGGAAGUGAAUAUUUACCUGUCAGAAACUUUAUUUCCAGAAAUCACUGCCCUACUAACAAUUCUCCUACCCAUGUGCACUCUUUAAUUGUGCUAAUGUUUGGAAUAAAUUUGUUUGGAUUG